rnacentral:lncRNA from 1 species
AUGAAUAGGCCCUGCUCACAGCAAGAGAGCUUUCCUAGGAGUGCAUUGCACAUUGGCUGUUUUCCCAGCCCCAUGGAGCCUUUCAGGAGCCUGCUGUGGCACGUUUUGGUUGGAUUUAGGGGAUUGCAGUGUACAAGCCAGGGUUUUUCCCAAGUGCUGAUGCUGCGGUGUUCCCAUCAGACCGCACGCAGGAAGCAUCUUCAUGUUAUUUCUCUGAGUGGGCACACACAGCCCCAGAUCUUGGAGAAUGUACAGCAGCUUCAGCUCUGUAACCUGCAGCACACAGGGAAUGUCUGCCUGCAAGGAGAGAGCCCUGCUCUGGUGCCCUGUCCAGAUGUAAAAUCGUUGUGCCAAAUGCACCAAAUGGAUACCUGGGACCCAAUGUCAUACUCAGAAAAGGUGCUGGGCUGUAAUUCCAGGAUUCCAGCCUUUUGCUGUGCAUCCCACCACAUGUGCGUGUCUGGAAGCCUGUGUCAGCAAAGGGAUGACCCCACCUCGAGUUUGCCAGCCUGCAGAAGAAAAAUUCAAUAAAAUGUUGUGAACUGGGAGGGAAAACACUGCUCAUGGAGAACUUACCAGGGCUCUGCUACAAACUCAGCACACCUGUGCCACCAGGUUCAGCCAGUCCUGGGCAGAGUCACCUGUCAGACCUGCAGCCAUCCCACAAUGGAAAUAAACAACCCAUGUUUUGCA